UAUGUAAAACACUAACGUGUAACGUGUAAAACUUGACCUCCAAUUCUGAAAAAUUCCAGAUCUCCAAACAACUCAUUCCAUCUUCAAAUAAAAAGAUCAAAUUUGCAAGUAACCAAACAAUGGUCCGCUGGGUCACAAAGUACUCUGAUUCUAUUAUGGCAACUUGAUGGGUCAUGAUACCCACAAAAACUAGGGAGGAAGAAAAAACUCAGCAUGAGGCAAACAAAGAAAACAAUUCAAACGUUGCUCAUGAAUUUCCGACAUACCAUGCCAUCUAUGAAGAACGGAAACUUCGACGAACCUGUGUGUCCCGUUCCGUAAAUAAAAAAUUAUAAAUAAACUAAAACAUUCUCAAUAGAUAAUUUUUUUGAUACAAUUACUCACAAUUUUUAUUGUUCACGUUAUCUAUAAUAAAGUUUAUCUUCUUAAUUA